rnacentral:snRNA from 1 species
UGGAUUGCGCAGUGGCAGUAUCGUAGCCAAUGAGGUUUAUCCGAGGCGCGAUUAUUGCUAAUUGAAAACUUUAGUUCAAUUAAAUAGGAAUUGGUAGAUAUACUUUUAGCAUACUAUCCUCUUUG